rnacentral:rRNA from 1 species
GUGUCAGCAGCCGCGGUAAUACGAAGGGGGCGAGCGUUGUUCGGAAUUACUGGGCGUAAAGGGCGCGUAGGCGGUUUAGCGAGUCAGGCGUGAAAUUCCCGGGCUUAACCUGGGGGCUGCGCUUGAUACUGCUAGGCUUGAAUUCGGGAGAGGAUGGCGGAAUUCCCAGUGUAGAGGUGAAAUUCGUAGAUAUUGGGAAGAACACCGGUGGCGAAGGCGGCCAUCUGGCCCGGGAUUGACGCUGAGGCGCGAAAGCGUGGGGAGCAAACAGGAUUAGAUACCCGCGUAGUCC